rnacentral:rRNA from 1 species
AGUGAACGCUGGCGGUAGGCCUAACACAUACAAGUCGAACGGCAGCACAGUAAGAGCUUGCUCUUACGGGUGGCGAGUGGCGGACGGGUGAGGAAUACAUCGGAAUCUACUUUUUCGUGGGGGAUAACGUAGGGAAACUUACGCUAAUACCGCAUACGACCUACGGGUGAAAGCAGGGGAUCUUCGGACCUUGCGCGAUUGAAUGAGCCGAUGUCGGAUUAGCUAGUUGGCGGGGUAAAGGCCCACCAAGGCGACGAUCCGUAGCUGGUCUGAGAGGAUGAUCAGCCACACUGGAACUGAGACACGGUCCAGACUCCUACGGGAGGCAGCAGUGGGGAAUAUUGGGCAAUGGGCGCAAGCCUGAUCCAGCCAUACCGCGUGGGUGAAGAAGGCCUUCGGGUUGUAAAGCCCUUUUGUUGGGAAAGAAAAGCAGCAGGUUAAUACCCCGCUGUUCUGACGGUACCCAAAGAAUAAGCACCGGCUAACUUCGUG